rnacentral:rRNA from 1 species
AUGAAGAAGAUGAGGCUCCUCUGCUUGCUUGCGCUGCUGUUGCUACGGACGGCAACGGCACGAGCAUCCGCUGCCGUGCAAGGAAGCCAGGCCGGGAACAGGAGUAGUCUUCCGUCCCUGGCCGGCUGCCAGAAGAGCUGUGGCAACCUGAGUUUCGAGUACCCGUUCGGCAUAGGGGCGGGCUGCUUCCGGCCACCGCAGCGGGACUUUGAGCUCAUCUGCAACAAUGCCGACGGUGCCUCGCAGCACCCCAGACUCUUCCUGCACGACGGCCACACGGAGGUCGUCGGUGAUAUCAUCACGAGCGAUGAGGAUGGCUUACCAGAAAUUGAUGUAUCAUUUUCCCGUUCCGUCUCCGUGAGCCCUGAGGUCGAGGCAUACAACAUGUCCUGGAAUCCAUGGAAAUCUCCCUGUUACUAUCAUGUAAGUUUAAACUUCACUGGUUGCAACUUCGACAUGUAUAUGCUCGACCCCGACACCAACAAGAUGGUGGGUGGAUGCAAUACUACAUGCCCUCACGAAGAUAUCACGGAUUCGGUGGCCAGGCAGGACUGCAACGGUACAGGAUGUUGCACCACCCAGGUUUACUCCGAGUUUGCUAGGGGCUUCGACAUCAAGUUUGUCCGCCACAAGAUUGGGAAGCUGAAGCUCAAAGCGCACAAUAACCGAAGCUCCAUAUGGGAUACGAUUGAUGUAACCUCUAAUGACGCCUUAAUUACCUGGGCUAUCGCCGUUGAUGAACCUGGCCCCUUGGGAAACAGUACAGAUUAUGCAUGUCUCAGCAACCAUAGCAGCAGUCAACUGGCUUAUCAGUAUCACUAUACAGAUACUCCUCAGUAUAAUUGUUACUGUGACGGUGGUUACCGAGGCAAUCCAUACAUAACCGAUGGCUGCUCGCGUGACAAAGGAUACGAUCCGAUACAACGGAAGACCAACUGCUCUAGAUGGUGUGGGAAAAUCAGUGUCCCUUUCCCAUUUGGCCUAGAGGACGGUUGUUUUGCAAGGAUGUCAUUUCAGCUCCAUUGUACAAAUUCGUCAAUGCCUGCCCUCCAGUUUCCUCAAAACACAAUAUACCCCACUUAUGUAAAGUAUAUAAAUAUAACAGAGGGGCUAGUGAAUGUUAAAUACAGCUUAGAUGGUGAAGGGUACCGUUCAGUGUUUGUAUCUGGAGAUCCAGACCUAUAUGUUGCCUCUGGGGGUGUAGUACCACAGCAGUGGGCCGUAGCCAAUUUAUCAUGCCAGGAGGCACAGGAGAAUAGGACUGGAUAUGCAUGUGUCAGUAUGAAUAGCACAUGCUUGGGUGUCAGGUCUGAACGAGAAUAUGUUGGUUACCGUUGCAAAUGUAUGGCCGGCUUUGAUGGGAAUCCAUAUAUCACGGAUGGCUGCAAAGAUGUUGACGAGUGCAAGACACCAGGCACAUGUAAUGGGACUUGUCAUAACACCGAAGGAAGUCACUAUUGCACCGAAUGUCCUAGAAAUACAGUGUAUGAUACUACAAUAAAGAUGUGUGUAUCAACUAAAGAGCAGAAUCUGGUACUAGGUAUCGCCAUUGGGAUUGGCGUUGGUUUUGGAAUUCUACUUCUCAUAUCAAUUGUAAUAUUAUUCGUCCAUAGAUGGAAAAAAGGCAUCAAGAAGAAACUGCGAAGAAAGCAUUUUCGGCAGAACCAAGGUCUACUCCUUGAACAAUUGAUAUCUUCAGAUGAAAAUGCGAGUGACAACACUAAGAUUUUCUCACUAUCAGAGUUAGAAAAGGCAACAAAUAAUUUUGAUCCCACACGUAUCGUUGGUCGUGGAGGGCAUGUCAUGGUUUAUAAAGGCAUCUUAUCCGACCAACGGGUAGUGGCCAUAAAGAAGUCUAAAGUCAUUGAGCAAGUAGAGAUAAGCCAGUUUAUCAAUGAGGUUGCAGUCCUCUCCCAGGUAAAUCACCGGAAUAUUGUGAAGCUCUUCGGUUGUUGUCUUGAGACCGAAGUCCCACUGUUAGUGUAUGACUUCAUCCCUAAUGGUUCAUUAUUUGAAGUCCUUCAUGCCAAUACCACUAGCAGCUCAAUCUUGUCUUGGGAUGACUGUUUGAAAAUUGCUGCAGAAGCUGCUGGAGCACUCUAUUACCUCCACUCGGCUGCUUCAGUAUCAAUAUUUCAUCGUGAUGUGAAGUCCACUAACAUACUCUUAGAUGGAAAUUACACAGCAAAAGUUUCAGAUUUUGGUGCUUCAAGGUUGGUUCCUAUAGACCAAACUCAUGUCGUUACAAAUAUACAAGGCACCUUUGGAUACUUGGAUCCAGAAUAUUACCACACGGGUAUAUUGAAUGAGAAGAGUGACGUCUACAGUUUUGGUGUAGUGCUUGUAGAGUUGCUGCUCAGGAAGAAGCCUAUUUUUACAACUGACUCUGGGCUAAAGCAAAACUUGUCCAACUACUUCCUUUGGGAGAUGAGGGAGAAACCACUCGCAGAAAUAGUAGCUACUCAAGUUCUGGAGGAAGCAGCAAUUGAAGAGAUUAAUGAUGUCUCUAGUCUUGCAGAGACUUGUUUGCGACUACGAGGCCAAGAGAGACCUACAAUGAAACAAGUGGAAAUGAAAUUGCAGUAUGUGCGAUCCAAAAGGUUGAGAGCAUGCCAGGUUGCUGUGACAAAUGAAUACAUGCAACCCUUGUCAAGUGGACAAAGCCAAGAUACUCUUCCUAUGUUGACUACUCCGAGUGGUAUAGCAGACAGAGUUAAUAUAGCUUCUCAGAGGAACCAAAAUUGCUACAGCUUGGAGCAAGAGUUCAUGGCAUCGGCGACUCUCCCACGCUAG